rnacentral:rRNA from 1 species
GAUGAACGCUGGCGGCGUGCCUAAUACAUGCAAGUAGAACGCUGAAGGAAGGAGCUUGCUCUUUCCGGAUGAGUUGCGAACGGGUGAGUAACGCGUAGGUAACCUGCCUGGUAGCGGGGGAUAACUAUUGGAAACGAUAGCUAAUACCGCAUAACAGUAGAUGUUGCAUGACAUCUGCUUGAAAGGGGCAAUUGCUCCACUACCAGAUGGACCUGCGUUGUAUUAGCUAGUUGGUGAGGUAACGGCUCACCAAGGCGACGAUACAUAGCCGACCUGAGAGGGUGAUCGGCCACACUGGGACUGAGACACGGCCCAGACUCCUACGGGAGGCAGCAGUAGGGAAUCUUCGGCAAUGGACGGAAGUCUGACCGAGCAACGCCGCGUGAGUGAAGAAGGUUUUCGGAUCGUAAAGCUCUGUUGUAAGAGAAGAACGAGUGUGAGAGUGGAAAGUUCACACUGUGACGGUAUCUUACCAGAAAGGGACGGCUAACUACGUGCCAGCAGCCGCGGUAAUACGUAGGUCCCGAGCGUUAUCCGGAUUUAUUGGGCGUAAAGCGAGCGCAGGCGGUUAGAUAAGUCUGAAGUUAAAGGCUGUGGCUUAACCAUAGUACGCUUUGGAAACUGUUUAACUUGAGUGCAAGAGGGGAGAGUGGAAUUCCAUGUGUAUCGUGAAAUGCGUUGAUAUAUGGAGGAACACCGGUGGCGAAGCGGCUCUCUGGGUUUGUAACUGACGCGAUGUUGAAAAGGUGGGGAGCGAACAGUAUUAUUACCCCUGGUAUGCGUGGGCUAAUUCCACUGUGGAUGUCAGGUGUUGUGAGCGUGCGAGCUGGGGGAAAGAAAAGAAAAAAAAUUUUAUUUCCUUUUGUGGUGGUGGUAAUCUGAUGCUAUCUGUGAAUGUGUGUAUGUGUGUGUGAGGAUGUGAAGUGUGGUGUGAGUAUGUGUGUGCUGAUGUUGUGUGUAUUGGUUGUUGUUGGUGUGUGUUGUGCUGUUGGUUGUUUGAUGUGCUGGACUCCUGUUUGUGGUGUGUGAGAAUGCUGUGAUGAGGUGUGGGUGUGUGCUGUGUGGUCUGUUGUUGCGUGUC